rnacentral:rRNA from 1 species
CCUACGGGUGGCAGCAGUGGGGAAUAUUGGACAAUGGGCGAAAGCCUGAUCCAGCCAUGCCGCGUGUGUGAAGAAGGCCUUCGGGUUGUAAAGCACUUUCAGUGGGGAAGAAAGCCUUGGGGCUAAUACCCUCGAGGAAGGACAUCACCCACAGAAGAAGCACCGGCUAACUCCGUGCCAGCAGCCGCGGUAAUACGGAGGGUGCGAGCGUUAAUCGGAAUUACUGGGCGUAAAGCGCGCGUAGGCGGUCUGAUAAGCCGGUUGUGAAAGCCCCGGGCUCAACCUGGGAACGGCAUCCGGAACUGUCAGGCUAGAGUGCAGGAGAGGAAGGUAGAAUUCCCGGUGUAGCGGUGAAAUGCGUAGAGAUCGGGAGGAAUACCAGUGGCGAAGGCGGCCUGCUGGACUGACACUGACGCUGAGGUGCGAAAGCGUGGGUAGCAAACAGGAUUAGAUACCCCAGUAGUC